rnacentral:lncRNA from 10 species
CUCCUGCCUCUGCCUCCUAAGUAGCUGGGAUUACAGGUGCCAGAUACCAUGCCCAGCUAAUUUUUGUAGUUUUAGUAGAGACAGGGUUUUGCUAUGUUGGCCAGGCUGGUCUCAAAGAGUUAAAUUUUUGAUUUAGUGACACUGCUUACAUUCUAGUCUCAUUUAACUAAUUUAACCCAGCCCUAUGCCAAUCGGGUCUUU